UACUAGCGAAAAGCUUAAAACUCAAAGGACUUGGCGGUGCUCCACACCCGACUUAGAGGAGCCUGUCCUAUAACCGAUAAUCCACGAUAAACCUUACCAUUUUUAGCCACAUCAGCCUAUAUACCGCCGUCGCCAACUUACCCCCUGAGGGCCCAAAAGUAAGUACAACAGUACAACAACUAAAACGUCAGGUCAAGGUGUAGCUAAUAAAAUGGCAGAGAUGGGCUACAUUUUUUAACAUAAAACACACGGCAAAGCACUAUGAAACUACUGCUCGAAGGUGGAUUUAACAGUAAGACAAACAAGAAAGCUUGUCUUAAACCCGCUCUGGAGCGCGCACACACCGCCCGUCACCCU
rnacentral:rRNA from 1 species